CACAUGAGCUAAAACUUCUAGUUCAAAGAUACAAUGCAAAGUAUUUGUUUCCGUUACAAAGGAACUUUGGCCUGAGGUUUUUCAUUAAUGGGAAAGUCUUUCACACUUGGAGUAAACAUCAGCUCUCUUCUAUUUCAUCUUUUAUAUUUCAGGAAAGCCCUGCAGUGAUUCCUGAAUAUGAAAACCAUGUGCAUGUUCUUCAUCAGCAUUUCUUUACUUCCUGGAUGAAGGCAAAACCGUUAGAAAACGAUAAAUCCAUCUCCAGUGGAAAGAAGGGGACAAAUUAAAUGAACAAACACUACGUGGCUGAUGCGAUCGAACGCGCAGCACAAUUAAACAGCCAUUACCCAAACCUCACUGAAUGUGACACUUUCAUCGCUUUAAGGACAAGAGGAAGAAAUCAGCGUGGGCUGUUUGCAGAUCAUUCAGAAAUGAGAGCAUAUCCUCAUGCAACCUCAAGCGUCCUCUGAAACUAGCUAUGCUGGUUGAGUCUUUCAUGCUGGUCUCCUGCUGGUGGGAGGAUGACUCAUGCUCAGAGUGACCUUCUGUCAUACCGCCCUCAAUAAUAUUGACAGAGGCUUGCCUGUGGUCCUUACAUUCAUCUUCAUUAGCACUUGGCUUUAAGCAUCAAUGUCAUUGUCCGCUCCUGGGAGGCCUUCGCUGCUAUCUCUGCUUCUGUCUGCCCUGGUCGCCACAUCUUUCAUCCUCUUCCUGCCAUUGCUUAGCUUAGAGGGAACUCAAUCAGACUAUCAUCCGAGACAUGUUUGCCUGCAAUCUGCCCUUUUUACUUGUGAAAACUAGGGCAAAGAGGAGGAAAACAUUGAUCUUGGAAGAUGAUUGCUUAAAGGGAUAGCUCACCUCAAAAUUAGAAUUUGUCAUCAUUUACUGUUUGACAAGCAAAGAACCAGUGAUGGAUAUUCUUCAGGGCCAGGAUAUUAUUCAAAUUUGACUUCCAAAGAAGAAAUAAAGUCAGGUUUGGAACGACAAUUAGGAAAGAGUCAUCCAUCUCCUGUAGUCAGCGUGGGACGUAAUGUCGGUGACCACAGCCAGCAGGGCUCUGCCGCACGUAUCUCUGUCCACGUAUCCCUAUCAGCUUCAGAGAGGUCAGAACGGAGAGAAGGGGUGAGGGUCAGCAAUGAACGAGACUGAUCGAUUGUUUUUCUGCAAGUUGCCGGAUGGUGCUUCCAGAAGCCACAGCCAUCGAUCGAGGCUGACACUGAUGGAUGACCCGUUUUUUCCAUUGUGCUGAUGGAUACACUAAAGCUCCUUACAGAGUUCAGUCUCAGCCCAGCAAAACCAAUGGUCUCGGUGCAGGGGUUUAAGUUUGAUUAACUAAAACCUCCUGCAGGCCAAGGAGAGCCAAACUCCUCCGCUGCUGUGCGAUGAACCCCAGUCAGCCAUUUACUGACCUACACAAUCUUUCAAAGCCUCCAGGAUGCUGCCUGUGCAUACAUGCCAGUGGCUGUGAUAUCUCUGGCAGUGUGUGUGGAAACACACAGUGGGUACAAGGCAAAACUGGCUUGGAGAAGACCACUUUGGAUGAGGACAUAUGAGAAGCUUGGCUCAUUUCGGAUAUCACAGUCCAUGACUGAAACAUGUUCUCAAGAGCCGUAGGAGUCCUCAACGCUUCAUAAUGGCUUCUGGGGUUAUGUUUUUUUUUUAGGAUGUCAUUCUUUCACCUACUUAAUAAUCCAUAAAUCUUUUCAUUUUAAUGCCUUUCUGCACCACAACUACUAAAUUUAAGUGUGGUGCAUUGAUCUAAUAAUAAAUGCAUUGAAUUUAAUAAACUUUAAUGACUAUCAUAAUAGUCAAUGUGUCAUAAAGGGCGUCUAAGAUAUCUCACAAUUACAUCACUUUAAUUGCGAGAUGAAUGCUUUAAAUGAAGAAAGUUCAUGCUGCUGAAAUGUGUGCAUGAUUCAUAUUCAUAUUUUUAUCCAUCUGCCUAAGUAAAGUGAGUUAGUGUGGUUGUUUUCUUGCAGUUUCUGUACUGUAUUAUAGAAUAUACUUGUGUUUUAAUGUGCCUUGUCCCAUGAUAAUUAUUUGUUCAUUAUAUGUCGUAUGCCAUUAAUAUACAGUGUUGUUGUUCAUUUUAAGAUCUGGAUUGAUUUAAAGGUGGUCAUUCUUUCCCUAUACAUAACUUAUUUUUUUAAUAGAAUUAUAGGUUCAGUAAGUUUUAGUCACAUAAAUAUUAGGGCUGGGUAAAAAAUAGUGAUUUUAAUCGAUUCUCAUUUUUACAAAACAUUAGCGAUUCUUAAAUCCUACAAGAAUCGAUUACUCUAGCCUGUUUUCAGGUAAUGAACGGAACAUUG